UUGGAGGGCAAGUCUGGUGCCAGCAGCCGCGGUAAUUCCAGCUCCAAUAGCGUAUAUUAAAGUUGUCGCAGUUAAAAAGCUCGUAGUUGAAUUUCGGGAUUAGUACGUUGGUCGUGCCUUCGGUACGUACUGGUGUUACUGAUUCCUACCUUCUGACGAACCAUCAUGUCAUUAAUUUGGUGUGGUGGGGAAUCAGGACUGUUACUUUGAAAAAAUUAGAGUGUUUAAAGCAGGCUCGCGCUUGAAUACAUUAGCAUGGAAUAAUGAAAUAGGACGUUGACCCUAUUUUGUUGGUUUCUAGGGUUGACGUAAUGAUUAAUAGGGAUAGUUGGGGGCAUUAGUAUUCAAUUGUCAGAGGUGAAAUUCUUGGAUUUAUUGAAGACUAACUACUGCGAAAGCAUUUGCCAAGGAUGUUUUCAUUAAUCAAGAACGAAAGUUAGGGGAUCGAAGACGAUCAGAUACCGUCGUAGUCUUAACCAUAAACUAUGCCGACUAGGGAUCGGAUGAUGUUAUUUUUAAUGACUCAUUCGGCGCCUUACGGGAAAC
rnacentral:rRNA from 1 species